rnacentral:rRNA from 1 species
UAGGGAAUCUUCCGCAAUGGGCGAAAGCCUGACGGAGCAACGCCGCGUGAGUGAUGAAGGUCUUCGGAACGUAAAACUCUGUUAUUAGGGAAGAACAAACGUGUAAGUAACUAUGCACGUCUUGACGGUACCUAAUCAGAAAGCCACGGCUAACUACGUGCCAGCAGCCGCGGUAAUACGUAGGUGGCAAGCGUUAACCGGAAUGAUUGGGCGUAAAGCGCGCGUAGGCGGUUUUUUAAGUCUGAUGUGAAAGCCCACGGCACAACCGUGGAGGGUCAUUGGAAACUGGAAAUCUAAAGUGCAGAAGAGGAAAGUGGAUUUCCAUGUUUAGCGGUGAAAUGCGCAGCGAUAUGGAGGAACACCAGUGGCGAAGGCGACUUUCUGGUCUGUAACUGACACUAAUGUGCAAAAGCGUGGGGCUCAAACAGG